AACAUAUUUAAACACUAAUCACUCAUGGGUAAUUCUUAUUAUUAUAAGUUUAUUAAACGCGAAAUCACAAAUAAUAAAAAAAAAGCCGCGUGCUCAAGCGCAUGGAAAAACAACUAUCGAUCGUUCUACCUAUCGAUACUCCUUUCCAAUAGCGACAUCGGCAAACAUUCCAAGCUUCCAAGGUUCGAUAGGGCUAUCGAUAUUCAUUUCCAUUAUCGAAAUCGCGCUUCCAAAGAAAUGGCGAAAUAUCAGUAAAUUAAAAGUGUGUAUAAAAACAACGCCCAUUGUAGACUGCCCAUGAAGCCAGUCCCCCAAUUGCCUAACAACCGCACUCGAUUGGAUUAGGACAGGCUUUUGGCGUCACAGGAAUGGAAUGGUUGAUUCGGAGCAGCGUCCCACCGCAACCACGCAGCAGUGUUGACAGGCUGCGGCGUGUCUAUUGGAAGGAGAGAGACAGAGAGAGAGAGGACGAGUUGUGUCUAUUUGUUGGCUUAAUUGUUGUUCAAUUAGCAUCUACUGCGGGAGAACUGUGAAGGAACCUUAUUUUCUCGUUCUGUAUUGAAAAGCUGAAAUACCUUAUAUUUUGGAAUGAAACACAGGCCGCUACCCAAUUUCCAACCAAAUUGUAUGCAAAUUUAUAGUAAAAUUUGGUUCAAUCAUCCUCCAGAUGUCCACAACAUUACGAGCAGAAAGGAACACUGCCGAAAAUGUAUAAUCGCGACAGCUGCUGGUUUUUUGCCGCUCGUUCGAUUCGAUUCGAACGAUUCCGCUGGCGGAGAGAUGAGUUUUUAUAUGGCCAAGGUGUGUGGCGGCUGUUCAAUAAGGAAACCCAAUAAGCCAGGAGCAGAGCAGAUACAGGUGCUAGAGUGGGGAAUACACAGAUAAAGAUACAAGCCAAUGAGUGGUAGAUACACCUGGGAUGAGUGGAAGAGCUCCAGGUGAUGCCCGCAUAACAUCCUUAUUUGGGUUUCCUUUUUUUUUUGCGUUUUGGACUAAAAUGACAAAACUCCAUUAAGAAUUACAAUUUCCCGUCUAACCUUUUAUUACAUUUCCGAUUCCCUUUUUUCGCUUUGUUUUGGCACUCUGCCCCCCCUGGAGGGGGAGCUCUAUACUAGAGCGGGAGAGUGAGCGCUUCUAAUUGCAUUUUAAAAUUGCGACACCAUAAAAUGUGCUUACGGUAUAAAUAAUUAUAACGGCAUUUGUCGCAACAAACAGCCAGAGAGCAGCACAGAGGCAGGAACCCAAAGCCACUCCAGCGAGUGGCAAUGAUUUCCAGUGUCAGGACGAGGCAAUGGGUUUGCGAGGACACACCAGAACAGAGCCAUGCAGUCGGUUGUUGUCGCAUCUCCUGGAUAUUGCAUGAGCUCCCAGCAGCAUCCCGAACCCCGAACCCCGCACCCAACAGCCAGCAGCCAGCAGGUUCAACCUCUUUUCCAUUUCGCCCUGGCAAUGGUAGCUCCAUUUUGCAACAACAACAACAACGACAACGAUGUCAUGCGAUUAACCUGGCAGAAUUAAACAUUCAGCGCCAAGGAGGCUGAAAGCAAGGACUACCUACCCGAACAGCCUUCUAAUGCUCUGAUCUGGAUGUACCUGAUCGAUAUACAAGCUGAAUGGAGCCUGGAGCAUGUUUUCAUUCUAAAGAAAUCUUCAAAGGAGUGCCUCUGACGUGCUCCUUUAGACUGUCUGUCUCCUGGCCACACACUUGACAAGGAUAAUGCAUAGGACAGCUCGCCGUCUUGGGUAUAUCCUUGUGUCACGACAGUGAAACGCAGCUUGCGCUACACUUGGUUGUCGCAUAAAUUUGUGUCCUGCAACAGGACGGGGCAGACCAAAGCGUUGCAAGACUGGAGACUGCAGUGGCUUAUGUCCCUCGAGUCGCUGUCUCUUGGUCAAAUUUAUUUACUUUGUUAUUUAUUCUGUCAUUUAGCAAUGAUUUGAACAGCGUAACAGGGGCUCCCAGGACUGUGAUAGGUUGGGACUUGGCUAUAGGGAGUAUUGGGAGUGUUUCCUUAAAAUAAUCGUGAUUUUUGGCUUGUUCUUUGCAGCCUCCUCUUCAGGCCAAGUAUCCAUUUCAUUCCUGGCCAAUCAAUGGCUUACUACCAGCUGUCUCUGCUGUCAAAUCCAAUAAACUUCUAGAGCACACAUUGUAUGAGAGCACGAUCCAUGGAUCCAUUUCCGCCUUACGUUCGCCAUGUAAUUCAAACAUUUUAACGACCUUCAGCCUGAGCAGAACGACGUGUGUCCUGUGUCCUGACGGCGACAGAUUUUUCUAAUGUCUCCAUUCGAAUCCUUUGGCCAAAGGCAAUUAAAUGUGCCACGGAAUGGGGCUCAGAGAGUGGCAGCAGUAGGAGUAAGAGUCAUAAUUGUUUUUUGCGUGCGUGAAUGCGGGCCAGGGAGAUGGGAUGUGGAUGGGGAUGGGGAACUGUCAUAAAUUCCAGUGGAGAAACACGAUUUGAAAUGAAUUAUAUCUUAUGGUUAUUAGACAAAGGGACAUCCCCUUGAACACUCAUGCCGAAUCAGGCGUUGCAGUUGGCCUUUGGGAAGGUGUAAUUAUUAACAUUUGUGCUUUCUCUUGGGCCGAAACAAUUAAAAGCGAAAGCAGUUCGAAUCAAAGAACAAGAAGGACACACACAUGAGAGGCACGGUGGCAGCAGGAGGUGGCAGUGGCGCACGCGGUGGAUUGUCAGUGUGAAGAACACAUGUGCAAUUGCCGCUUGCCUUAAUGGGCCAUAAAUAACCGGGGACAACAAUGAGAGGCGGCUGCACUGCAUCCCACCUCAACUUCUCUGCCUCCCUACCAUUCUGCCACUGCGGGCUCUUUUCUUUUUCUUUUUAUACUCUUAAAUGGGGUAGUAUGUUUUCCCCUAUAUGUUUGAAAUGCAGAGGGGGAUCUGCAGCAAAAGCUUGCAAAGGGUAUCCGCGUUCGACCUUCAAGGGACGGGACUCUCCUUUCUUGCUUCUUUUGUUGGGUGCUACUCGCCAGGACAUAUGAAAUUAUUGCACGUCGACGUGCAGCCAAUCGUUGUGCGUGUCCUUGCGGCCACACACACUCGUAUAUACGCGCACACACACUGACAUGACAUUGCCUGCUGCCCGGUUCGGCCUGCAUGUGCAUGUCCUUCGUCAUUCAUCAACGCUGCCGCUGUGUAUGCGGUUGCGGCUUAGGGGUGGCAGGCGGGCGUCCCUUCCCCCUUCCUGGCACCUUUUGCGCAUAAAAUGUUCUUCCCCAAAAUGUGCAAAAUGUUGAAAUGCGUCGACUGCUUUUGAUUUAUUGUCAAUUGAGAUGAAACAUAAAAUGCUGCCUGCCAAUAAAAGUGUUGGAAGCAGCCACGUCGUCGUGCCGUCGUCGUCGUACUCCUGCAAAAAGGAUAAUGCGCUGCGCUUGUUUUAAUUGAAAAUAAAUCUUGUCAAUUUACGUCGCGGCCAGACACAUCCUGUGAUCCUGCCCGCUUCUGUGUUUGCUUUUAUGUCUGAUUUUCAUUUCUUUUACCAAAUUGUAAAUUACUUCCGCCUGCUCUUUUGUUGAAUGUCCUUUCAGGACCAAAGGUGUUGCGUACUUGGGCUUGGGCUUUCCUUUUUUUUAUUUUUAUGACACUAGAAAAAAUAUACGAGUAUCCCGAAAUCCGGCGACGAACAUCCGCCACCUUUUCGACCAAAAGUCCCCUUUGGGGUCGCGUCCUUUUUGCAAUAAUACAGCAACAAAAAAAUCUACAUAUAAAUAAACAUUAAAAUACUUUGGAGACUGAGUG